rnacentral:rRNA from 1 species
ACGCUCGACACCUACGGGAGCAGCAGUGGGGAAUAUUGCACAAUGGGGGAAACCCUGAUGCAGCGACGCCGCGUGAGUGAAGAAGUAUUUCGGUAUGUAAAGCUCUAUCAGCAGGGAAGAAGAUGACGGUACCUGAGUAAGAAGCCCCGGCUAACUACGUGCCAACAGCCGCGGUAAUCUGAGCGGGCGUGGCAAGGC